UUCAAACAAUACAAGGCUGCAAGGAACGAGAAUGAAAUUCUAAAUUUUCAUUUCCCUCCUGUCAUAUUCUUUUCCCUCUAAUAUUUUUUGUAAUUCCCUCCUCAUUUUAAUUCCCUCCUCCCCCAUAGAUAUACAUAAAGUCACAAACACAAACGACUAGGCUUGCUUCCUCUACCCACGUCUACCCUUAAUUCGCUGCCCUCAUCUCCUUUUAUGGCUAUUUAAAUAACCCAUUUGUUUAAUUGCAGUAAGGUCUUGUUCGGUAUAUUGCAACCAAAGAAGCCAAAGACAAUAUUUUCUUCUUGCUUCAUUGUUGUAGGAUUGUAUAAAAUAUGUGUUAAUCAACUUGUGUUCAACAAGGAGGAAGCAGUGAAAAUUAUUUAUAAUGUUUUUGCACGAGUUACUUUGUGAUUUGGUGGAAGAUGAACGAAGAGUCAAAGAGAUAUCAAACAAGAUUUAAGGAUUAUCAGUGUGUAUUUAACUAAUUUCACAGAUGGUAGGGUUUGAGCGUGACACAUAUCUUUUUUUUUGAAGUGCUCUUCCGUUCAAAGAUCAUUGAAGAAGGCAACCAAGCAUAAGCAUAGAUCAUUUAAGUUUGAACCUACAUAGUUUUGUAUUAUUUUCAAAGUAGUAUGACCUCAACUUUGUACUUUUAAAUGAAGUUUAUUUUGUCUUUUGGUUCAUCGUUGUAAU